rnacentral:rRNA from 1 species
UGAGGAAUUUUGCGCAAUGGGGGGAACCCUGACGCAGCAACGCCGCGUGGGUGAUGAAGGCCUUCGGGUCGUAAAGCCCUGUCGGGCGGGAAGAACGUCCCUUCGGGGAAUGACGGUACCGCCAGAGGAAGCACCGGCUAACUCCGUGCCAGCAGCCGCGGUAAUAAGGAGGGUGCAAGCGUUAUUCGGAAUUACUGGGCGUAAAGGGCGUGCAGGCGGGGGUGCAAGUCUGAUGUGAAAGCCCGGGGCUUAACCCCGGAAGGGCAUUGGAAACUGCUGUUCUUGAGUUCUGGAGAGGAAGGGAGAAUUCCCGGUGUAGAGGUGAAAUUCAUAGAGAUCGGGAGGAACAUCAGUGGCGAAGGCGCCCUUCUGGACAGCAACUGACGCUGAGACGCGAAAGCGUGGGGAGCAAACA